AUUGAACGCUGGCGGCAGGCCUAACACAUGCAAGUCGAGCGAGCGGCGGACGGGUGAGUAAUGUCUGGGAAACUGCCUGAUGGAGGGGGAUAACUACUUGAAACGGUAGCUAAUACCGCAUACCAUCAGAUGUGCCCAGAUGGGAUUAGCUAGUAGGUGGGGUAACGGCUCACCUAGGCGACGAUCCCUAGCUGGUCUGAGAUGAUGACCAGCCACACAGGAACUGAAACACGGUCCAGACUCCUACGAGAGGCAGCAGUGGGGAAUUUUGCACAAUGGGCGCCAGCCUGAUGCAGCCAUGCCGCGUGAGUGAAGAAGGCCGUCGGGUUGUAAAGCACUUUCAGCGGGGAGGCGUUACCCGCAGAAGAAGCACCGGCUAACUCCGUGCCAGCAGCCGCGGUAAUUC
rnacentral:rRNA from 1 species